GUUAGCUGGUGCCUUCAUCUUUGAUAAAGUUCAGGCACCAGAUGAGGAAAGAUGCUUGGACUCCAUCAAAGCUGAAAGCACCAGCUAAC